UUGAACGCUGGCGGCAUGCCUUACACAUGCAAGUCGAACGGCAGCACGGGAGCAAUCCUGGUGGCGAGUGGCGAACGGGUGAGUAAUAUAUCGGAACGUGCCCAGUAAUGGGGGAUAGCCCGGCGAAAGCCGGAUUAAUACCGCAUACGACCUACGGGUGAAAGCGGGGGAUCGCAAGACCUCGCGUUAUUGGAGCGGCCGAUAUCAGAUUAGCUUGUUGGCGGGGUAAAAGCCCACCAAGGCGACGAUCUGUAGCUGGUCUGAGAGGACGACCAGCCACACUGGGACUGAGACACGGCCCAGACUCCUACGGGAGGCAGCAGUGGGGAAUUUUGGACAAUGGGCGCAAGCCUGAUCCAGCCAUGCCGCGUGUGGGAAGAAGGCCUUCGGGUUGUAAACCAC
rnacentral:rRNA from 1 species